CUAGGAUGAACGCUAGCGGCAGGCUUAACACAUGCAAGUCGAGGGGCAGCAGGCUGUAGCAAUACAGUGCUGGCGACCGGCGCAAGGGUGCGUAACGCGUGAGCAAUCUGCCCGUAUCAGGGGGAUAAGCGAUGGAAACGUCGUCUAAUACCGCAUAACACCAAAGAUGGCAUCAUCGUUGGUUGAAAGCUUCGGUGGAUACGGAUGAGCUCGCGAGACAUUAGUUAGUUGGCGGGGUAACGGCCCACCAAGACCGCGAUGUCUAGGGGAACUGAGAGGUUGGUCCCCCACACUGGAACUGAGACACGGUCAGACUCCUACGGGAGGCAGCAGUGAGGAAUAUUGGACAAUGGCCGGAAGGCUGAUCCAGCCAUGCCGCGUGAAGGAAUUAAGGUCCUAUGGAUUGUAAACUUCUUUUGAGUGGGAGCAAUAAGGGCGUCGAGACGUCCGAUGAGAGUACCAUUUGAAUAAGCAUCGGCUAACUCCGUGCCAGCCGCCGC
rnacentral:rRNA from 1 species